CCUGGCCCAGUUGAUUUGCUCUUUAAUGCUCCACCUCUCAAGAAAACUACAUUAUGAAAUGUAGGGAGUAGAUAAUAUCCAGAAUAAAUAAGAAACAUCUCAUAAUUAGUAAAAAAUUAUUGUGGCUGAGUUGCUCUAUCCCUAUCCUUGGCCUGUGUCUCUUACUGCUGCCGCCGUUGUUGCAUCUACUGCUGAUGUUGGUGCCCUCGGUGGCACCACUACGCCCACGACAAUCCGCGGAUGCUUACAGUCCUCGACGACCACCGCCGCUAGCUCAUGCUGGUCUAAUGAUGGUCGCCCGGGGGCACGCGCCUACAACUUCCAUCUCCCCCUCCUCAUCUUCCUUGAGGGGUUAAUACACAACUGCCGAAGCAACAUGACAUCAAACUGGAUAAGCCGUACUUGCAAGAGAGUACAACAACAGAUGGAGAAAGUACAGGAAAGAAGAACAUGGAGACUUGGUAGAGAGGUCGUCAAACUGGAACCAGCUUUGACAUGAGUGGCCAUGCAUAGCAAGAUGCACUAUCGCAGCCCUUUGAAACACACGAAAUGGACUAUUGAAACACAAUAUUAGUCAAAAAGAGUAAAUUCUUGAUUUCCAGCAAUAUAAUGUAUAACAAACAUAUAGCUUGCAAAAACGUCUUACAUUAUGAAAUGAGGGGAGUAUUUUACUAAUGCUGGGGUGUUGAAAAAGUUCAGAAAAAACUACAAUUGUAAUAUUCAACCUAAUUUCACCCCUUACAUACAUGGCAAUUGCACUAAAGUAAAACCAAAAAGUGCAUGCCACAUGGUGAGGGAAGUCAUCUUAAAGAUACAGUGCACGCCAUCUUCUCUUGUUUUGUAAAAUUCUUCGGUGGCCUUCUAGACAUGCUCAACAAAGUUUAGUUGCGGCAAAUAUUUCUCAUUAUAUUCUUGGGGGCAAAAACUUCUACAAAUUUAUUGCAAAACUGAUGCAUGAUAGUACAAUGCCAAAAAUUUAAAUGAUUGAGACGCACAAUAGAGGUGGCUAAUACCAUGAAAAAAAACCAAUGUGUGUUAUUCCCUUUCUCAAAAAAAAUGCAGCUCCCUUGAGAGAAAAAACUCUGAAGUAUAUGGAAAAUUGUUGUGUCUCAGACUCACCUUGUUUUGGCUGUGUCGUAUGUGUGUGUGGCGGCUCUCCUGAGAACGGGAGGACUGGAUGCCUCCUUCUAGGUCAGUACCUCCACAUGGGCUUGGGCCCUAAGUGACAAGGCUUGAUGGGCUUGGGCCCAUACCAGUUCAACACUCCCCCUCAAGAUGGGUGGUAGAUAUCUAUCAUACCCAUCUUGUCACAUGCCAAGUUACAGUCCUUCGUUCCCAGUCCCUUUGUCAAGCAAUCUGCAAACUGCUGCCCAGAGCUGACGUGAGUAAGACUGAUGAUACCAGCAUCAAGUUUCUCCUUAAUGAAGAAGCGAUCAAUUUCCACAUGUUUUGUCCUAUCAUGCUGAACUGGGUUAUUAGCAAUAGCUAUAGCUGACUGAUUGUCACACCACACCUUCAAGGGUCCCUUCCUCAGAAGUUUCAACUCGCUCAAUAGGUACUUCACCCAGAGCAUCUCACAUAACCCUUGAGAUAAAGCUCUAUACUCGGCUUCUGCUGUUGAUCUAGACACAACAGGUUGUUUCUUGCUUCUCCACGACACCAAGUUUCCUCCCACAAACACACAGUAGCCAGAAGUUGAUCUUCUAUCAUCUUGACAACUGGCCCAAUCAGAGUCACUAUAGCCAUCCACUUCAAGAUGUCCACUCUUCGCAAACCAUAACCCUUUACCUGGAGUCCCCUUCAAGUAUCUCAGAAUUCUGUGCACAAUAUCAAGAUGCCCACUCCUUGGUUCAUGCAUGUAUCUGCUCACCACACCCACAGCAUACGUAAUGUCAGGCCUGGUAUGACACAAGUACAAUAACCUCCCAACCAGUUUCUGAUAAUCUUCCUUAUUCACCAGCUCGCCUGACUGAGCUGUCACUUGAUGAUUUUGUUCAAUCGGCGUAGGGGCUGCACGGCAUCCCAUCAUGCCCAUGUCACUCAAGAGAUCCAAGGUGUAUUUCCUUUGGCACAAAGAUAUUCCCUUCUCUGUCCGGGCCACUUCAAUUCCAAGGAAGUAUUUUAGGUUGCCCAAAUCCUUCACCUCAAACUCAUUGCUCAGACACCCCUUCAAUCUCUUUAUUUCCUCCUCAUCAUCUCCGGUGAUGAUAAUGUCGUCCACAUAAACUGCAAGAAUGGUGAUCUUUCGAUUAGAGAGUGAGUGUCUGUAGAACACCGUGUGAUCACCAUUACAUUGACCAUACCCCAUAGCACGGACAGCACGCCUGAACCUAUCAAACCAAGCCCUCGGCGAUUGCUUCAGUCCAUACAAGGAUUUCUUCAGCCUGCAUACCUUCCCCGUUGUCAGUGAAGUACCAAAACCUGGUGGUAUCUCCAUGUACACUUCUUCCUGCAACUCACCAUGCAAGAAGGCAUUCUUAACAUCUAAUUGAUGCAAUUUUCACCCAAAGUUUGCAGCACAGGAAACCAAUAUCCUUACUGUGUUCAUCUUUGCCACUGGAGCAAACGUCUCGUCAUAGUCAAUUCCAUAAGUUUGACUAUAUCCUCUGGCGACCAAUCUGGCCUUAUACCGUUUCACCUUCCCCUCAGGAUUCUGCUUCACUGUAUAGAUCCACUUACAACUCACUGCUUUCUUUCCUGCCGGCAAUGUGGUUAGCACCCACGUCUUAUUUUUUCUCGGUGCUUCCAACUCUUCUAUCAUUGCUUCAUGCCACUUCGGAUCUUGCUUUGCAAUCUUCCAAUCCUUUGGGAUUGACACAGUUUGAAGAGAGGCAACAAACACUCUAUAGGAAGGAGACAAAGCCUCAUAAGACACAAGAUUUCCAAUGUCAUGAUCAUCCAAAAACUCCAGUGGUAAAGCCUUCUCAGCCGCUUCACGUGUCCCCGUUCACAACGCAAUAGGUAGCUCCACUGUGUCAGAUGAGCUUGCACCACUGCCUUGCUGCUCCCCCUGCACUGACUGCUCCCCCUGCACUUGUUGCUCCCCCUCCUGCACAAGUGGCUGCCGCCGAGAAUAUACCAGACGAGUGUCAGAUGAGUCAUGCACCUGUGGCACUUGUGGCUCUCGCCGAGAGUACACUAGGGGGAUCUUCUGCCACCAAUCUCGAACAGGGAGCUGGAGAUUACCAAUCUGAAUGGAACCCACGGUUGGUUGGACCCGUACCUGCAUAUCACCAUCAGUGAGAGUACCAACCGAAAUUGUACCCACAAUUGGCUGGACUUGAACCUGCACAUCAUCAUCACCAAUGUUAGUGCCCACAGAAUCCGCGUGAGUGUGAGAUACAGCCUUCUUCCCCUCUUGACCAUCUUGCACAGAGUGGAAAUGGUCAAGCUCUUGAAACAACACACUUAGAUCUAUUGGCUCACCAUAGAAUGGCUCAGACUCCCUGAAGGUUACGUCCAUACUGACAAACCUGCGUUUCUCUGAGGGACACCAACAUUUAUAUCCCUGCUGACUAGAAGAAUAGCCCAGAAAAAUACACUUCACUGCCCGCGGAUCAAGUUUUCCAACAGAAGGACGGUGAUCUCGAACAAAACAAGUACUGCCAAACAACUUUGGGGGGACAACAAACUUAGUUUCUCCAUAUACUAGCUCACACGGAGAUUUCAUGCUUAGUAUUCUUGAUGGUGUCCUGUUGAUCAAGUAUGUGGCUGUCAUAAUUGCUUCACUCCACAAGAAUUUGGGCACAUUCAUCGUAAACAUCAAUGACCGGGCAACCUCAAGAAUAUGCCGAUUUUUCCUUUCUGCCACUCCAUUCUGAGGAGGGGUGUCUGGGCAUGAAGUUUGAUGAAGAAUACCGUGAUCAGACAAGUAAGCCCCAAAUGUGUUGUUCACAUACUCUGUCCCAUUGUCAGUCCUGAUCACCUGCACCUGCACCUGAAACUAAUUCUUCACCAAGGCAUGGAAAUUCUGAAAACAGCUAAACACCUCAUCUUUGUGACGCAUCAAAUAAAUCCAAGUCAUACGAGAAUAGCAAUCGAUGAAUGUAACAAAGUAUUUCAUUACAUUCAUUGAUACAACUGGGCUCUUCCAUACAUCCAUGCGCCGCCGCCUCCCCACCGGACUCCGCCGCCGGCCGGCGACUAGGCCACCGUCGCCGUCGUCCCCAGCACCUCGCCUGCGUCUGAUACCAUGUUGUGUCUCAGACUCACCUUGUUUUGGCUGUGUCGUAUGUGUGUGUGGCGGCUCUCCUGGGAACAGGAGGACUGGAUGCCUCCUUCUAGGUCAGUACCUCCACAUGGGCUUGGGCCCUAAGUGACAAGGCUUGAUGGGCUUGGGCCCAUACCGGUUCAACAAAAAUGCAUAUGUAUUCUAGCUGAAUGUCCACUGAAGAAUAUAUCCCCGUAUGCUGAUGAAAGCAAUUGUUUUCUCUAGAUGCACUGUGUGUGCUACCAAUGAAGCAUUAUCUAUCCUGCAGAUACGCCACAUGUGUAUCAAUGGUCUAUUGUACGCAGCCUUUCCCUACAUUUCUGCAAGAGGCUGUUUCCAGGACUUGAACCCGUGACCUCAUGGUCACAAGGCAGCAGCUUUCCCUCUAAAAGACUAAAAGCACAAAAAAUUUCAAAUGCAAGAGUAGUUACCACACACCAUGCACAUACUAACUCCGGUUUGACAAAUAAGUACUCCCUCCGUUCCGUAGUUAUUGUCAUGGUUCUACUUUGAACUAAAAGCACGACAAGAAUUAUGAAACUGACGGAGUACUAAACAUACAUCCAUUGAUGAGGAAGAGUCAUCCAUGACCAUGAGCAAGUGCUAACUCCACCACUCAACUGAAUCUAUUCGCCAGCACCAUCUAAAAACACUAUUGUCAAGAUGAGUACCAAGUCCAAAACUGAGUUACAUAAACAAAUAAUGAAAACAAAACAUAACUUUGUAGAGACAAUUGCAGUGUGAACUUUUCUGUUAAAUGUGAAAUAUAUCUCGGCCUUUCCAAAGUAAAUAACUAUGCAGUUGGCAUGGAUCAGUAGAAAGUAGGGGACGAAGCCAUGAAGGCCAGGCCCAGUUGAUUUGCUCUUUAAUGCUCCACCUCUCAAGAGCACUACAUUAUGAAAUGUAGGGAGUAGAUCAUAUCCAGAAUAAAUAAGAAACAUCUCAUAAUUAGUAAAACAUUAUUGUGGCUGAGUUGCUCUAUCCCUAUCCUUGGCCUAUGUCUCUUACCGCCGCCGCCAUCCAUCUACUGCCGCCAUCCAUCUACUGCUGAUGUUGGUGCCCUCGGUGGCACCACUACACCACGACAAUCCGCGAAUGCUUAGAGUCCUCGACAACCACCGCCGCUAGCUCAUCCUGGUCUAACGACGGUCGGCCGGGGGCACGCGCCUACAACUUCCAUCUCCGCCCCCCCCCCCUUCUUCCUUGAGGGGUUAAUACACAACUGCCGAAGCAACAUGGCAUCAAACUGGAUAAGCCGUACUUGCAAGAGAGUAUAACAGCAGAUGGAGAAAGUAC
rnacentral:lncRNA from 1 species